rnacentral:rRNA from 1 species
CCUACGUGAGGCAGCAGUGGGGAAUAUUGCACAAUGGGGGAAACCCUGAUGCAGCGACGCCGCGUGAGUGAAGAAGUAAUUCGUUAUGUAAAGCUCUAUCAGCAGGGAAGAAAAUGACGGUACCUGAGUAAGAAGCCCCGGCUAACUACGUGCCAGCAGCCGCGGUAAUACGUAGGGGGCAAGCGUUAUACGGAUUUACUGGGUGUAAAGGGAGCGUAGACGGCAGUGCAAGUCUGGAGUGAAAGGCGGGGGCUCAACCCCCGGACUGCUCUGGAAACUGUACGGCUGGAGUGCAGGAGAGGUAAGUGGAAUUCCUAGUGUAGCGGUGAAAUGCGUAGAUAUUAGGAGGAACACCAGUGGCGAAGGCGGCUUACUGGACUGUAACUGACGUUGAGGCUCGAAAGCGUGGGGAGCAAACAGGAUUAGAUACCCGGGUAGUC